rnacentral:rRNA from 1 species
UACGGGAGGCAGCAGUGGGGAAUAUUGGACAAUGGGCGAAAGCCUGAUCCAGCAAUGCCGCGUGAGUGAUGAAGGCCUUAGGGUUGUAAAGCUCUUUUACCCGGGAUGAUAAUGACAGUACCGGGAGAAUAAGCUCCGGCUAACUCCGUGCCAGCAGCCGCGGUAAUACGGAGGGAGCUAGCGUUGUUCGGAAUUACUGGGCGUAAAGCGCACGUAGGCGGCUUUGUAAGUUAGAGGUGAAAGCCCGGGGCUCAACCCCGGAACUGCCUUUGAUACUGCAUGGCUUGAAUCCAGGAGAGGUGAGUGGAAUUCCGAGUGUAGAGGUGAAAUUCGUAGAUAUUCGGAAGAACACCAGUGGCGAAGGCGGCUCACUGGACUGGUAUUGACGCUGAGGGUGCGAAAGCGUGGGGAGCAAACAGGGAUUAGAUACC